rnacentral:hammerhead_ribozyme from 1 species
AUCCAGCUGACCAGUCCCAAAUAGGACGAAACGCGAGUCCAGGAU